rnacentral:tRNA from 1 species
GCUGGAAUGGCCGAGUCGUUAAGGCGAGUGAUUUGAACUGGCAUUGCCACCUCAUCACUUGGUGUUUCACCGCGUAGGUUCAAAUCCUGCUUCCAGCG